rnacentral:rRNA from 1 species
GAUGAACGCUGGCGGCGUGCCUAACACAUGCAAGUCGAACGGGGUUAUUUUGGAAAGUCCUUCGGGACUGGAAUCUAUAACCUAGUGGCGGACGGGUGAGUAACGCGUGAGCAAUCUGCCUUUAGGAGGGGGGAUAACAGUCGGAAACGGCUGCUAAUACCGCAUAAUGCAUCAAUUUCGCAUGUUAUUGAUGCCAAAGGAGCAAUCCGCCUUUAGAUGAGCUCGCGUCUGAUUAGCUAGUUGGCGGGGUAACGGCCCACCAAGGCGACGAUCAGUAGCCGACCUGAGAGGGUGACCGGCCACAUUGGGACUGAGACACGGCCCAA